rnacentral:rRNA from 1 species
GACGUAGGUGGCGAACGUUAUCCGGAAUUAUUGGGCGUAAAGGAUGCGUAGAUGGUGUAGUAAGUUAUCGGUGGCAAAUCGAGGCUCAACCUCGUGGAAGUCGGUAAUACUGCUAUGCUAGAGGAUAGGAGAGGUUAACGGAACUCCCUGUGGAGCGGUGAAAUGCGCAGAUAUCAGGAGGAACACCGGUGGCGAAGGCGGGUCUCUGGGCAAUAACUGACGCUGAGGAGCGAAAGCGUGGGGAGCGAACAGG